AUUGAACGCUGGCGGCAGGCCUAACACAUGAAAGUCGAACGAGUGGCGGACGGGUGAGUAAUGUCUGGGAAACUGCCCGAUGGAGGGGGAUAACUACUGGAAACGGUAGCUAAUACCGCAUACCAGCGGAUGAGCCCAGAUGGGAUUAGCUAGGAGGUGGGGUAACGGCUCACCUAGGCGACGAUCCCUAGUUGGUCUGAGAGGAUGACCAGCCACACUGGAACUGAGACACGGUCCAGACUCCUACUGGAGGCAGCAGUGGGGAAUAUUGCACAAGGGGCGCAAGCCUGAUACAGCCAUGCCGCGUGUAUGAAGAAGGCCAUCGGGUUGUAAAGUACUUUCAGCGAGGAGGCGUUACCCGCAGAAGAAGCACCGGCUAACUCCGUGCCAGCAGCCGCGGUAAUUC
rnacentral:rRNA from 1 species